rnacentral:rRNA from 1 species
AGCCAGCAACCUUUGUAAUACGGAGGGUGCAAGCGUUAAUUGGAAAUUCUGGGCAAAAAACGCACCCCACCGGUUUGUCAAGUUGGAUGUGAUAUCCCCGGGCUCAACCUGGGAAAUGCAUUUGAAACUGGCUGGCUGGAGUUUUGUAGAGGGGGGUAGAAUUCCAGGUGUAGCGGUGUAAUGCGUAGAGAUCUGGAGGAAUACCGGUGGCGAAGGCGGCCCCCUGGACAAAGACUGACGCUCAGGUGGGAAAGCGUGGGGAGCAAACGGGAUUAGAUACCCUGGUAGUCCCCGCCGUAAACGAUGUCAGAUUUGGAGGUUGUGCCCUUGAGGCGUGGUUUCCAGAGAAGCCUUAAAC